GGGGUGGGUUCAAUUUGAACUGCAUCAUUCAUUUUGCUCACUUUCCUUUUCUCUUCUGAAGCCCAAGAGGAGGUCGGCGAGGUUGUCAGCUGUAAGUAAAGCGAGCCCCUUACCCGUUUCUUUUACGUGGAUCAUGUCCAGUGGAAAAACUCAGUGCUGCUGAAACAGGGCCCAGCUGGACCCCCUGACUCAGAAUGCCUCUGGAUGCCCUGCCCCCGUCCUGGCUGGCUUUAUUUUGUGGCUAGAGCUCAGAACGCCUCUGGGAUGCCCAGCCCCAACCCAGAAACCUGCUCCUGCAAAACUGGAAACGAAGCCCAAAAAGGCAUCAGGAAAGGUGGGUUUCAAACUUACAAUAAGAGUCUGUGGUGUCUUCGAAAUGCAGCAGUGCUUCGCAACAUGUGACUUUCCUUAAUAAAGCCAUUGCUGACCCCUAAGGUCUUGUGAAACUGUUAAUGACUAAGAUCUUGACUUUGAAUCUGUCACAAUAAUUAAUAGAUGUCAGUCUCCUGAAGUUGAAAUUUUAUCGUAUUUAUCUACUUAAACUUUGUAUUUUAAUAAGUAGACUUUUUUCCUCUGAUCUGGGUAAAAUAUAACAGAUACAAUUAUCCUGGCUUAUGGGAAUAUGUGUCACAUUAAUGCUGCUGCGAAUUUAGGACACUUAAGAUGGCUAGAAAUACUAAAUAUCGGCUUACAAAGGAAACUCAUUCUUUGUGUUGUGUACGUUUUGGGGUCGGUGGUUGUCCAUUGGUUGCAUGCUUGUACUUUUUUUUAAAUUUUUAUUGGGGAAUAUUGUGUUUCUCCAGUGCCCAUCAGCUCCAAGUCGUUGUCCUUCAAUCUUAGUUGCAGGGGCGCAGCUCAGCUCCAAGUCCAGUCGCCGUUUUAAAUCUUUAGUUGCAGGGGGCGCAGCCCACCAUCCCAUGUGGGAAUUGAACCGGCAACCUUGUUGUUGAGAGCUCGCACUCUAACCAACUGAGCCAUCCAGCCACCCCUCCGGAAGCUCAGCGGCAGCUCCUUAUCUUCAGUCUAGUUGUGGAGGGUGCAUCUCGCUGGCCCAUGUGGGAAUCGAACCAGCAACCCUGUUCAUAGCUCGCACUAUAACGAACUGAACCAUCUGGCCACCCCCAUGCUUGUAAUUUUAAUAACAGCAAAGCUAGGACUGAGGCCAGAAGAAAAGGAAUGUGUUAAGUUUUUGCAUGUAAAGUUUGCAGGCCAAGUUAGAGGG
rnacentral:lncRNA from 1 species